CAGAGUUGCAAAACUCCCAAACCAUUGUGAACGUUACCUUCUCGUUGCUUCGGCGGGCGGCCCGGGUCCUUCCCGGCGCCCCCCGGCCCCUCGCGGGCGCCCGCCGGAGGUACACCAAACUCUUGAAUUGUAUGGCCUCUCUGAGUCUUCUGUACUGAAUAAGUCA
rnacentral:misc_RNA from 1 species